UGACCCUCGGAUACGGGUCAAACAGUAAAGUGCUUUCUCUGAGGUGAAUCCAAUAGUUUAGAUAUCCCCGCACAGAUGUUCUCGAAUGCGCCGUUCUCUUUGUUAGAAAGCCCUCUUGCUGCUUGAAAAGGAGCUCAUGACAUAAAUUGACACUAUUUAAUGUCUCGAGUAGGCCAAUUGCCUUUCUUACCUUUGCUGGUGCUUGAGUUUGAUUGGAUGAGGAUUGAGGAUUAGCAAUGAUUCUCCAGCCAUUUUUUUUACCUGGCAAGUCUAACUAGAUCUUUAUCUCUUGCUUGCUUUCAUUCUUUUCAGCAACUCGCCAGACUCGAACUGGCAGGGCUCUGAUCAAGCCUAUUUUUCCGACAAUAGAGUUGCUUUUGGUACGCAGUUCGAGAGGCUUAAAUUUCAGCCUGGCUCUGAUCAAGUCUAUUUUUCCGACAAUAGAGUUGCUUUUUGUACGCUGUUCGAGAGGCUUAAAUUUUAGCUUUCCUACAUCUGCGGGCAGACCUCUUAAACGAAUCCUCUAUCCGGACUCCCCCUAGAACCUCUGUCUGGUCUAUGGACUACUUUAAGCUUGAUAGCUCCUGUCUCAUCACUUAAAGCGUAAGCGGCUCACCAGUCCACCCACCCUUCACUAAGAAGAUGCGGCACCAUUAACUUUUUUUUUAUAAUAGAAUUGGAGCUAGCCCUUGCUAGGUGGCCCUCGUAUAUAGUAGUAAGGAUUCUUUCCAGUUUUUGUAAAGAAAGAACUUUUUUUUUAUAAUAGAAUUGGAGCUAGCCCUUGCUAGGUGGCCCUCGUAUAUAGUAGUAAGGAUUCUUUCCAGUUUUUGUAAAGAAAGAGCUUGUUUGACAAAGAAUUUCUAACUAAUAGACCUUUAACUAAAUUUACCAUUUCUUGUGAAGUUUUCUCUUGUUUUGAGAAGUUUUUAAUAAAUACAAGUCUCUUUCCCUUAUUCGCUUUCUAAUUUAGUAAAGUAUUCCAUCAGCGUCUUCCUAGUAAACUCUGCAUGUUAGCGACCAAGCUCUCUUUUUGCUGAGUCCAAAAUGGAUUGGGAUCCAAAUGGGCCAUCUGAGCGGAAAUACCUCUCUUUAACCUUAUUAUCGCAUCAACUUCAUCGUCGUUUACGUCACGUUGUGGAGUCACAGUUGAAAGAUGAUUUUUAAUGGUGUCGUGUUGAAAGAUCCAAACAGGAUCCUUACAUGGAUUGGGAUCCUGAUGUGCUGGCGACUGCGGUUCAUUUCUAGCAUACUGAGGUUGGAUGGGGGCCGGUUGAUCCCCAAAAUCCCCCUCUCCCGGAAAAGGAAGUUGUGGUUGGGCAGAGGCAGGGAUCUUCUCCAGUGGUCAUUAGUAAUGCACUUUGUGGUCCUUAUUGGGUUGAGGUUGGAUGGGGGCCGGUUGAUCCAUAAAAUCCCCCUCUCCCAGAAAAGGAAGUUGUGGUUGGGGAGAGGCAGGGAUCUUCUCCAGUGGUCAUUAGUAAUGCACUUUGUGGUCCUUAUUGGGUGCUGGCGAAGCAUAAGAGGAGAUUCUUAACGUCAGGAAUAUCGGCCUUAGCAUCUUUCUUAUUAAAAAUUAGAUUCUCUUUCUCUACUUGAGAAGAAAAAGAGGAGAUUCUUAAUGUCUGCAAUAUCGGCCUUAGCAUCUUUCUUAUUUAUAAUAAGAUUCUCUUUCUCUACUUGAGAAGGUUCUCACCAGGCAUACUAUUCAUCGGUUAUUUUGCCCUUUGGGAUUGAAACAACCUAAUAAGGGUUGUCACCUACAUAACCUACCUCCGGAAGAAGGUCUCAGAUCACUGUAGUUCGAGCCCUUUUGUUAAUGCAGUUCCUGUACUUUGAAUGAAUUCAAGCUAGUAAAGUAGUCUGCUUAAAGGGGGCGCUCCUCACCUCUCCCCCUUCCCCUUAUCAUAGAACCAAAAACUAACCAUGAUACAAGGGCCUGCCUCUCAGUACGUGAAAACGGAAGUGAAACUCUUUCACUGUCUUACUUUGGCCCCUCUCUAGCCAAAUCAAAAAAUUUGAACAACCCCCGAGACACCAAACAAAUUCCCUAGAACUCACGCAUAUACCAUGUCAGCCUCCACUUCAGUACUUGAAAACGGAAGUGAAACUCUUUCACUGUCUUACUUUGGCCCCUCUCUAGCCAAAUCAGAAAAUUUGAACAACCCCCGAGACACCAAACAAAUUCCCUAGAACUCACGCAUAUACCAUGUCAGCCUCCACCUUCAGAUCCUUACUGUCCAUCUUUAUCAGCCAACUCCCCCGUUUCCAAAAACCUUAUCCACCACUAAGAAAAGGUGCCUUAGCGGCUAUGCUUCUCCAGUGCCCGACCAGAGACGCCGCUCUCCCCCGGAUGUUGUAAUUCUUCUAGUCUUUAAUUUUCUUCCCCGCAAAUAAAGAGAACAAGUCCUAGUAGGAGAAGAAAGAGGCCGAGUCCCUCGAUCCACCCCUCUAGCCACCCCAGGUUUGGAAUAUACGCAAAAAAGUACAAUAAUGCCCCAAAAAGUAAGGGGAUUAGAGGUUGUUUUGCCGGUAGGAUAUUCCUUUGAAAAAGGAAGAAACCUAAAAAGAUAAAUAUAUGACAGAAGAUAAAAAGGAAGGGAAUGGGGCAAGAUAUGUUAUCCCCGCCCGGCGCCGACGCUAUGGAAAUUACCCCUAAACUUGUACUCGAAAAAAAAUAAAGCCAAAAUGCAAAAAGAAAAGAUAAAAAGGAAGGGAAUGGGGCAAGAUGUGUUAUCCCCGCCUGGCGCCGAUGCUAUGGAAAUUACCCAUAUACUUGCAAUAGAAAAAAUGUAAAGCCAAAAUGCAAAAAGAAAUCCAACCCUUCCGCGUUUUCUAAAGCAAAGGAAAAUUAUGCAAGCCCCCGACACAAGGGCGGGUAGCCGUGCCGGUUCAUGCAGAAAAUCUUCACUAUUAUGGACUUUUCCUAAAACAUAAAAAUAUAACAUAAGUAGAAUAAGGGGAUAAAUUGAAUGUUUGGGGCGAGCUUCCAAAAAGAAGCAUAGGGCGUAGUAUACUAUUAGCUGGAAGAGAAGAAAAAAGGCCCAUUACGCCAGUCCCUUUUUCAAUGAAUAGAAGAGAAGGAUGGAAAAAGGAAGAACGUCCGAUGGAAGACAUAAAAGAAAUAAAAAAAGUGGAACCAUGAUGAAUAAAAGACCCUCGAGACUUACGAGGUUCUUUAGAAAUAGGGUCGCUAGCACAGAAUAAAAAGCGCUAAUUAUCAAAAGCCACUUCGCCUCUUUCCCCUGUCAUGUCAGCAUUUGAAAAAAGUAUUAUCAAAUAGGGGAACCCCCCCGCUGUAUCGAAUUCUUUUAGUAUCCAGCCUGCUCCCUUUGUUCAGUCGGAAGACUAUGUCAGCAUUUUUAAAAAGUAUUGUCAAAUUGAGGACCCCCCCCCCUCGCUGUAUCGAAUUCAUUUAGUAUCCAGCCUGCUCCCUUUGUUCAGUCGGAAGACUUUUCUUUUGAAAAAGACUUUUUAGUCCCGUCCAACAAGAGAGGUAAAGCCUUUCUAUUCAAAUGAGACGCACUCCCAUUGUCUCGCUAAGGUCAGCAGCAGGACAUAGAGCAGGGAUUGAGUAGUCUUGGGAGGCGGACUUAUAUUCCCCGGUUACGAGUUGACGACGUUUUCACUACUCAAACUUGAAAAAGUCUUUUACACCUUCGGGAAAGCGUACCGGAAGACCCAACUUUCGCUUAAAAUCCCAGUUUGGAUGAGCAGAGUUAGGCUCGAUUUCGAUUCAUACUGAAAAAUAGGUGAAUAGUUGAUAGCAGAUGGGGAAACUUUCGCAUAAAACCCCAGUCUGGAUGAUCAGAGUUAGGCUCGAUUUUGAUUCAUACAGAAAAAUAGGUGAAUAUUUGAUAGCAGAUGUGGUCAAGCUAAAGGCAGAGCUUGAAUUGGAUUUUCCAGUUGGAAAUUCGUUAGAAAAGCUGUACCUUGACAAUCCCCACGAUGCUUCUGCCAGCCAUCAUCGUAGGGACGAAGAGAUUCCCAAAACCACAACAAUAGACUCAUUCUGCACCAGCCCACUAGCAAAACAAAAGGCAAGGAACUUCUUUGACUAGUAUAGUAUCGGGAACAUGCCUAGAAGAGGAUUUCAGAAUUCCAGAGGCGCGCAAACAAAGCCAUGCUUACUUCAUCUUCACUUCAUGCUUAUACACCUGCUGGACUGUCUAUCCUUCCUUGCUUUACGCGCAAACAAAGACAUGCUUACUUCAUCAUCACUUCAUGCUUAUACACCUGCUGGACUAUCUAUCCUUCCGUGGUUUUGAUUAGAUGGAUUAUAUCAUCCAAGAGCUUAAACUAAGAGGCCAAUACUUUAAGGAACGAACUAGCAAGUCUUAUCUUAUACCUUACCUCAACUAAAAAAGCUAACGAGAAUGUCGAUUCCAUGCCUUAAGGCUGACUGACGCUUCCCUCUUUCCUGGUCUCCAUUACCCUUCUCCCGAAAAUGCUUUUUCAUCGCUCUGAGCUCAUCAAGUGGAAUAGUUAAUUACGUUUAACAAUCUUAACGCUUCCGUCUUUCCUGGUCUCCAUUACCCUUCUCCCGAAAAUGCUCUUUCAUCGCUCUGAGCUCAUGAAGUGGAAUACUUAAUUACUUUUAUCAAUCUUCAGCAGCUUUAAGGUAAAGAUGCCAUUUGCAUGAUCCAAGGCCUUCCCUGUAAAAGGCUGUCGGAAGUCUCGUUCUCGAUCACAGAGCAAAUUACUUCUAUCUUAAGAUUUGCAAUUUGGCACUUGAGGCGAAUCUUGCCCAUAGCUUUCUGAGACUCAGCGUUGUUGUCUUAAUGCUGUUCCGCUUCCUGGUGGGAAUUCCGAGCUUCCUUAUCGUUUUUAGGGGUAUAACAUUUAUAGCUGACCCCGGAUCUACUUGCACUUGUCGGAGUUCUACUUCACAAAUAUAUCCUGAAAGGUAUAGUGGAUGAUUAUGGUGAAGGUCCCCUAGAAACAAAAAGUCUAUUCGAGAAAAUGUGAGGUGUGGCUCCUCCGCCUUCAUCUUCUCUUGUAUGCCUUGGUUCUCUUCUUGAGGUACAUCAUUCACCUCUAUCUGGUCUACACGGGGUGCAUACUUAUCGGCUUCUGAUAGAGCCUUGACACUUGUCGGAUGUAAGGUGACAACCUCAACAAGGUAAUUCUAGCUGGUAUAUUAGCUAGUUGUGCUAACAAAUCAUAAUCGAAAGGCUCAUCUAAGCCGAGCAAUGCUUUCUUCUUCACCAUAGAGUUUACAUUCUACACUCUCGAGAAAUUUAUUGUGGUAAUCAAGCCCGCAGCGGGUUCUGUCUACAUCAUUUAGACUGACUAGGGUCGGUGUCUCUAUCUUCAGAAUCAGAUUUUGAAGCCAAUAUGGAUAUGGCACACUUACCAUGUUAGAGGACUGAAAAAGUGACAUAGGCAAGCAAUCUCCAAGUGUCAUAAGGGUUCUAGCAGUGCCCCCGGACUGAGGAACCGUACAAGACUUUUCGACCAAAAGACAAGUCUGUUCCUGCUCUGUUUUCGGUUCCCGAUUCAAUCUUCACCUUUUGUGAAUGAAGAAAGAGAGUGAAAGAGAAGAUAUCAGUGCAAUAGGUACAGAGGUACGAGAAAUAGUCUUCGUUCGGUUUGGCAGAAGAAAGCCGAGAAAACAAAUAGGAAGAGCACUAUGCAAGCUUAUAAUUAAGCUAAUAUAUAAAAUCUAUCACCACCUCAAGCAGUAAAACAAAGUCGUUAUGGAUAUGUUACUAACACAAACAACUAUGAAUGGUAUUCAUUGACAGGAGUGACCGCUUUCUAGUCGUAGUUGGUACCGCCCCUGUUCACUUCAGCAUGCAAGGAACACCUUCGGGAAGAAUCAAAGUUUUUCUCCUCUGCAAAGCUAUCAAUGCUUUAUUCAAGAUCUUUAGCAGUAGCAUGCAAGGAAUACCUUCGGGAAGAAUCAAAGUUUUUCUCCUCUGCAAAGCUGCCAAUGCUUUACUCAAGAUCAUUAGCAGUCGAUCGUUCAUUCUCCCUCCCCAGUGGCUUUCGAAAGCUCGACAUGAAAGAAUAAAGAAAAUAGGAAAAAAGAGUACGGGGAUAUUUAGCUAUUUAGCCUUAGAGAAAGGUGACUUGGUAAGACCAGAAUCUGGAACAGAGAUUGGAUGAAGAAUGGUAUGGGGAUAUUUAGCUAUUUAGCCUUAGAGAAAGAUGACUUGGUAAGACCAGAAGCUAGAACAGAGAUUGGAUGAAGAAUUGCUUUUUCUUUAGCGGGAAUGGUGCCACCUUUUUAUUUAGCAACUUCCGCCCCGCUUAAUAGGAAUAGGAUAGACUUACCGACCGGUGAAAGGAAAUAGCGGGGUCAGACAAAGGAAUACCGAACUCUACCCGUGUGAGGCCUCGUAGCCAUGGAGAACCAUAGAAUCAGAAGGUUAUAUUAGAACAUGGGUGGAAUGGUCGACAGGCACCUAAAAAUAGCUUUAGAAGCCAGAUUAGGAAACUGUUUCCCGAGUUCGAGCAAAUGCAAUGCGACAUCCAGGAAAAAAAGGGUUGUUGUCCGAUUUGCGCAUACAUCACUAAAGAAGAUAAGAAUCCACAUAUAUGGGGGAACACGUCAAAGGCCCAUGUUAUGGAAGUAGCAGAGGCUUAUGAGGGAAAGAAAAAAAAAGGGGGUGCUCCUAUGAGUGCAACCGACAUUAUAGAGCAGCUUGCGGGACAAAAUUCGUGGCCGGAAGUGUUCAGGCACGAACAGCUGAAGCUUGAGGGAAAGAAAAAAAAGGGGGUGCUCCUAUGAGUGCAACCGACAUUGUAGAGCAGCUUGCGGGACAAAAUUCGUGGCCGGAAGUGUUCAUGCACAAACACCUGAAGCAUAUUUUUCUACAAAGGUACCCGAGCAUGAAUGGCUCCUAUGACGACAUACAAGUCCUCAAACUAAUGGAAGAGGACCCUAAUAGAAAGAAAAGUAUAUGGUAGAAAAAGAAUGUUCCAGUUGUUGUGAUAGCGAAUGAACUACCAGAGUGCGUUGCUGCGAAUGGGCCUUUCCACGAGAGAUUCAUGGUCUUACACUUCCGCGAAAGGGUAAAUGAUCUCCAAGAAGAGAGGGUGGUAGCCACUUUAUGGGGCUGCAUACAACGAAGAAUGGAGAGAAUGAACCUAGAGAAAGGAAGUAAUCCCCAAGUGAAGAUGAAAUUCAAUGAUGAUGUCCUUAGGAUAAAAUAUAAAAAAGGAAGUGAGGACCCUAGAGAAAGGAAGUAAUCCCCAAGUGAAGAUGAAAUUCAAUGAUGAUGUCCUUAGGUUAAAAUAUAAAAAAAGAAGUGAGGACAGAACAAAUCAUCGUGAAGAAACCUUGAUCUCAGGAGAACAGAUGCUUGUGCAGGAAGGCGCAGGAAGGAUCGUCAUAAAAAAAAAGUAAGAAAAGGUUGAAAGAGGACUAGGGAGCCUCUCGAAAUCUCCGAUCUCACAGAUGGUUAGGCUGCAAUUUCUUCGCUUGUGAAGAAGCUUAGCUAGUUCUCCUUCCUCGGACAUUCUGUUCGCCUGCCCAUGCUUCAAGAUUGAAGUUUUCACCAGAAAUCUCUGUAAAAAAAAGAACGUUGUAACGAGAUCGCAUAGGUCCAACAUAAUCCUCCUAACAGGCAGCCAAAGAUGGGCGAGGAUCAAUUAGUUAGCUAACGAAGAACCAGAAAUCUCUGUAAAAAAAGACAUUGUAACGAGAUCGCAUAGGCAACAUAAUCCUCCUAACAUGCAGCCAAAUAGGAAUGAUCAUUAUCAGGGGAUACAGAUAUGCCAUGCUAGGAUGAGUUAGGCUUUCAACAGCAUAAGCCACCUCCCAAGCGGCUUCCCUCCGGUGCCUUUGACUAUUGCUACGGUCAUCAACCGCAUCAUUGAAUUGAGACUUUCCACUUUGCUUUGGACUUGAAUGGAUCUACUUCUCCUCUGCCAGAUCGAUCUUCAUUAAGAGGGUCAACCCAAGCUAUUGCUCUACCUCCUCUCCUUAUGUUAUGGUAGAUUUUGAAUCCCUACUAGAUUUCUUACUCCUGAAAAAAGAGAAAUCAACAAUAAUGCACAAACGUGAAAAGUCUUACCCCGCAGGCUGACUCUUUCAAUCCAACUCUAUCGAAGGAGAAAAAAAGUUGGGACUAUGACUUGCUUAGUGCAGGGCUGCUUGUCGUGAUUGGUUGGACACUCUCUUCAUCUAAGGUCUUACCUUGGUCACUCUAUUAAGCUUUCCCAGCAAGUCUAUUGAAUGGGGUACGAAAGAUUGCUAUUCAAAGCAUCGUUAAGAGUUCUGUCUUCUAGGGAGUAGUCAAGAUAAGAUGACUCUGAUCUUUCCUUCUAUGGAGCCGGAUGUGAGCUUAUCGUUAUGUCUUCUAGGGAUUAGUCAAUAUAAGAUGACUCUGAUAUUUCCUUCAAUGGAGCAGGAUGUUAGCUUAUCGCCUACUGAUCUUACUCAAAAAGAUUCAAUGGGAGUAGACACAUCAAUAGCAGCAGACGCGGAGGAAGAAAUCCUUGCUCUUCGGGCUAAGAUGCUGACUUUGCCGUGGAAAGAGUAAUGAGAGGAAAGCCUUGACCUUCCCUUGUUCUACCCUUCGAACUCGGAGAUUGAAGAAGAUCACUCUAUGCAGCGACAGAGGCAAGAUCUCUAUAUGUUGAUAGAUACCCGAGAGACUGAGUCCUUGGGGGUUUGUUCUGCCCUUCAAACUCGGAGAUUGAAGAAGAUCACUCUAUGCAGCGACAGAGGCAAGAUCUCUAUAUGUUAAUAGAUACCCGAGAGACUGAGUCAUUGGGGGUGAGAGAAAGGAGGCAUUACUCCCAGAAAACGUGCAACCAACCUUUCCUUCCCGCUUCUUCCUUGAGAAGAGAAGGUAGGGGCUCUGUUUCCGCAUCCGUUCCAUAUCAGUAUUCAUUGUUAAGAUCUCCUGGUAGAAUCGAAUGGUAACUGAAUCAUUCCAAUAAUUCCGAACAAGUCCUGCAUGGGCUCUUUGUCGAAUGAGUUUGCAUUCCUCAAUCCAAUCAUUAAACUUCCGACAUCUAGAAUAACUCGCUGGAGCACCCCUCGAUUCACCUUUCAUUCCCAUAUGUAUCGGCUUUUUCUAAAUCGACAUAUCUAGGUUCUCCCAACCCAACAAGUACCCUUUCUUUCGAAAUGGCAUUGCCAAAAGUCGAAUUAAAGGCUUGACAGGAGAACUUCUCUUAGCCCUAUAGUUUUUCUCCGUCAAAAUUUUUUCCAAAUCAAAUGAUUCAAGACCUGAACUGAAAGAGAUUCUACAAACAAAGUUUUUCUACUCGGCCUUGAGAAGCUUGCAUCCUUUGGAUUCUUGGGACCUAACGAGCCAGGACAGCCUAUACUGAAGGAGAUAAAUUCAUAUCCUGCCGAUUUCUAGGGCUUUCGUUGCUUGGAUGUUAUUGCCCUUGCCCCCACGCCAGCUUGCUCUCUCAUCCCUCCCACCUUUUCCUAUACCUAUGAUUCUCCUUUAGUUCGGUUGUAGUUUCAUAGAUCUACAUGGGAAUCUUCGUCAGAUCGAUCAUGCAGUUACGGCCAAUCAGGCAGAUAUCGAUUGGCCUACCAGAGAGCUGACAUUAGAAGACUGACACCCACAACACAAACAAAGCUAGACGACAUACGAUCAAAAGUUCAGGAUGAUGUGAUCCAAGUCAAGUUAGAGGCAAAGUAGUUCCUUGAGUUUGUCCAUCGAGUCACUAGCACGCUUGCGAAGGGUAGAAAGCGGACAUAUGCCAUCGACUUGGAUGUGAAAAAAUUCCUGAAAUCCGCUCUUAGAGUUCGAGAAUCCAAGCGAUGGCAAGUCAGCUAGCAAACCAAGGGGCAAAGAAAGGGUCAAAAGUACGUUCCGUGCCUAUAGUCAUUCCUCUCUCUGGUAGCAAUCCGGUCUCCAGUCGAUGGUACUAUUUAAACGAGAAUGCCGUGUCGUCCAGCGCACUUGACCACUGCGAUCGAUCCGAUAAACCAAAGCAUCCUGGCCAACCGACUAACCAUUGAGAAUGGAACAAAUAGGGGAGAUUUAAUUCUUCUCUCUUGUCUUUCAACCCUUGCUCUUGCCUCGGCUUCGCCUUCCACCUUAUUAAGCUUUCGUGUUGUCCAACGCACUUGACCACUGUGAUCGAUACGAUAAACCAAAGCAUCCUGGCCAACCGACGAACCAUUGAGAAUGGAACAAAUAGGGGAGAUUUAAUUCUUCUCUCUUGUCUUUCAACCCUUGCUCUUGCCUCGGCUUCGCCUUCCACCUUAUUAAGCUUUGGACUUCCACCUUCACUAACCCGUGGGACGGGACCGACCUUCUCUUUUGUUUGUAAUUGGACUUGCCCGAAACAAAGGAACCUUGGCGUGAGAACCCUCUAGAUUAGGGAGAUCCAGCUCGGCUUCGCCUUCCACCUUAUUAAGAUUUGGACUUCCCCCUUCACUAACCCGUGGGACGGGACCGACCUUCUCUUUUGUAUAAUUGGACUUGACCGAAACAAAGGAACCUUGGCGUGAGAACCCUCUAGAUUAGGGAGAUCUAAAUAAGAGCUUGUUGCAUAUGCGUAGGAACCACCCCAUGCGGUGUGAGAAAAGCCCACUUGACUUCGGAAUGCCAACCUCUCUUAGCUUAGCCCUUUACGACCUUUUCCGCCUUCUCACUGCCAUUCAUCGGAUAAGACUACGUCACCUAAAUCAACAAAAAAGAGGAAGGCAUUUCUCAUUGUUGGCUAGCCUGGGCUCCACACCAGAUUUUCUCACUGCCAUUCAUCGGAUAAGACUACGUCACCUAAAUCAACAAAAAAGAGGAAGGCAUUUCUCAUUGUUGGCUAGCCUGGGCUUCACCCCAGAUUUUAUCUGAGAUGGCGAGAAUUCUUUCUUAAAGGCAUGGCUUAAGCCAACUCGGGACGGGAGGUUUUUCUACUACUAUUACAGCUCGUACAACCUUGAGGAAUCGAGACUAGUGUAAUAAGUUACUAGCCUAGUGCUACUCCUCCAUAGAAGACUUGCUAGAAUCGCUACCACCUUUUCUCUCGACUUUCCUUUGCCAAAUAAAUCCCACGUAUGAAGCUCUCAGAUUACGUACGAAUCAAUUAAACAAGCCAAACCAAUGGCUCUGUUCAAAAGCAUUAGUAGACGCGGAAAGAGAUCCUAUUCCCUAAGGACUUUGUUAUCGCUUUAAACUUCCCUAUUUCCCAUAGGAAGCCCAUCUUCAAAGCUACUUUCUCAACAAGCUCUAGCUCUAGGGCUUUGUAAAAACUCUCUUCUUUAUCAUACGAUACGAGGCAUCCAAAUCUGCAUUCCCAUCCCCUUCUGAACCCGAUGAGACAUCCGUCUCAGUCGAACCAAACUCUCGAACCCGUCCAGAAGUUGAGGAUGCAACUUACGAUUUAAUCUGUCUCAGUCGAACCAAACUCUCGAACCCGUUCGGAAGUUGAGGAUGCAACUUACGAUUUAAUCAAUUAAAAAAAGGUUUAGCCAUAAAGAUUCAGGUUAAAGAGAGUUCUAACGUGGGGAGCGACGGCAUAUAAUUACCUUAAAAGGGGGUGCCCUCCCUGAGACUUCCUCAGUCAUAGUUUUCUGCUUGAUAGACUAACUAAUUACUAAAAAGAAUUGCCAGAUCAACCAUCAAUCGUUCCUUAUGAUUCUAGGGGUUUAGGAUAGGAAGAGGGCUAAGCUCAACUCAAAGAUGCUAAAUAAGGGCAUUCAUUAGAAUUUCAAUGCGCAUUGAGCGAGUAGUUAGUUCAGGUCUUUUUGUAUGAGAGAUCUCGUUCCAACAGUUUUUCCGUGAAGGCUCUCUUUUAUUUUCAGGAUGGAACCUUUGUUCAGGACCACAGGACGGGAUAGGGUCCCGUUGAAUUAUACCUACCUGGUAAACCCCGCCACAGCGGUCGUUUUCUACCUCUCGAAAGAUAGUGUCCCGUUGAAUUAUACCUUCCUGGUAAACCCCGCCACAACGGUCGUUUUCUACCUCUCGAACACAUGGAUGCCAAGCUCCUUUUCAUUAAGAUUUUAGGACUCCUAGUUCUAACUUCAAUCUUGGAGAAAGGUGAGUGUGCUAGGAUUGGGCUAUUAGAUCGAGCAAGGUUAGUAAUGGAGGCAAGGCAAAAGUCAUGCACUGGGUACCGCCGAAACGAAUAGCUAACAUAGUUAUCCCGGUGAUUUUGCCCGAAGAGUUUAGGGCAGAGUCUGAUUAUGCUCCUCCAACAGUUCACGCCAAACGUUGUACUUCACAAAAGGUAGAAAACAAAGAACAGUAGAGUCUUAUUAUGCUCCUCCAAUAGUUCACGCCAAACGUUGUACUUCACAAAAUAUAGAAAACAAAGAACCAAAUCCUGAGACUAGGGUGCCCACUCUCAGAAAAAAAAGAAGAAGUGGCUCAUGCCGGUGAAAGAAGCAAUAAAAGAGAAGUCUGAUUCCUAAUCGAAAACCGUUUUUCUGAAUGAAGUUAGAAAGAAGUUCAAUUGCUCCAGAAGGAAGGCGGUAGGUGGGCUUAGAUAAGAAAUAUAGUAUUUUCUUCUCUAUAUCAAUUCUUCGAUAAAGCAAGAGACAACUAUAAAAAAACUGACUUUUCCAUUUACCGGAAGAAAGGUCGUCAAACUGAGCGUCUGAAUAAAAGGACUCAGUUCCCCUGAACGGCCUAAUGUCCGCCGCCUCUAGCCGAUGCGCACUAUAAUGAGUUCAAAUGCUUUCCUUUCUCCAUACCUCCUACCCUCUGAACUUCUUGGAUUGAGCUGGUCCAAAGUGUUUCCGGCAAAGCUAGGAACGCGCGUUUGGGUCAAUUAUUUCAAAUCUCAGUGCACAAACUGAAUGUUGUAUGGUCAAUUUAAGGCUAGUCAGUUUUCGGACUCUCAAACCUUUCGGCCCUGUGUUAACCACAUAGAAGAGACGAUUCAUUCUAUUCCCUCGGUUAUAUUUGACUAAGAUCCAGAGGAUAUCCCAAAGUGGGCAUUCGGGCUCAUUUCUCCCUUCAAGGUCGCAUUCCUCUUAACCAUAGGGUUUUCUUGCUCGCCCGUAACUCCUCUGUUGGCAUUGGUUAGUUUUUGGUAUGGCUACUGAUGAUUUGAUUCAAUACAGCGGAUGAGGAAAAUCCAAAAAGCUUAGACACAAUAGAAAGUAAGGAAGAUAGAAGGUGGGUAGCGAGGAAGAAAUACAAUAGCCCGCUCACGAUUCAACUUCCUAUUCAAGUGAAUCCGCCUGGAGCGAACCAGGUUUUAGUAUCUUUCCCCGUAGCUUUCUUUAUUUAUUCUUUAUCGCUUGAUCUUUCUUUUCGUUGUUGAAUCUCUCUUUGAUUGAUCAAUGUGUGACAUUCCUUUCCAAGAUAAACCAUUCGAAUGCUACUAAACGAGAAGAAGAGUCUAUUUGAACAGGGCACAUGCAUCACACAUAAGAAAGACGCCGAAAGACAACCAAGAAAUUUGUCCGUUUCGGCCUACUUUGGCCUUUAUACGAUAAAGUACAUCAAGAAGCUUCUAAUUGCAAUAGAAGGGUCCAGGUCAGAAUUUGCAGGUAGUUAGUCGCUUUCUCUGUAGGAAAAGACCUUAGGCUGUACAACAACUCCGCUAUUCUCCCUUUCAAGUAGGAGUUCAACGGAGCUUUAUUUAAAGAACAUUAACCACCACUUCGACUGAUGCGGACGCGGUGAGUUCAAUGGAGCUUUAUUUAAAGAACAUUAACCACCACUUCGACUUAUGCGGACGCGGUUCUCUCGUCGUGAAAGAAGUAAUGAAAGGGAAGAUCGGGAUCAAAGAGCAUUCGUUGUUGCCUGUAUAGCUUUCUAGAGCAUAGAUCUAGCAAUGCAUUCUAGGCACAAAUCAUUAGUAUUGGAUGUAUGGUUAGGUUGUGCCGAGUCAAAUCUGCUCCGUUUUUUCCGUUGCAGAAAACAGAUCCCUUCCCCUCGCUUUCAAAAAUGAUGAAUAUGAAGUCCAGGAGGCUGCAGGUACUAUGGAUCCUCUGACACCCAAUCGGGUUGCCUUCCCAGGUCUCGCCGAUGUUGCCUCUAGGUCGUGAUGUGCCUUGAGAUGGCCGACUCCUGUCCCCCUUCCAGUGGGGAACCCGCUCCCCGGUCGUCGCUCUGCUGCUUCUGGCCCGUCUUCUAGGCACCUUUGGAAGGCAGGGAGUGUAACAACGUACACUCUUCCCUUUACUCCAUAGGGCCUUCUCAUCAGUAGAAGGAUUUGGUGGCCCGAAAUUGACUUGGCUUUGCCAAAAGGCCUCAUCUCUAAAAGCCCGGCUCGCGAGGCGUCCCUCUCGCAGUAGGGUUCCAACCCUCGCCUCGCUCUUGUGACAUGCUAUGUUUCCCCUCUCUAUUCCCAAGUAAAGGGUGAGUCCCAUGCGUCAGUUUGUGGAUCGCGGUCUCACACACUAAUCCCUACAGGUGCCCCCAGUAGGCCGGCCGCCGUACCUAAACCAAUCAUCAUAUUGGUCCCUAGGCCCCAUUGCUGGAAAGGCUCGGCUGCAAAAUCAUACGUGGAGCUUCUGCCUCAUACGGCUCCUCUAGGGAUGGAGGUAGGCCCAGCCCAGGCUUGUGCGGUUAAGGUUGUUGUACACGAUCUCCAUUUUAGUAGUCCUAGCUAUCCACUCCACUAUGUGGUAGAGUGUUCGUCCCCACCCCUUCGCAGGGGUACCUUCC
rnacentral:lncRNA from 1 species